rnacentral:lncRNA from 1 species
GAAGGUGGGAGGGAGCCCAUGGGGCCUGAGUCUGGAUGGAGGUAAGGAAUGGGAAGCCAGCCAGGUGCUUUGGGGCAGCUGAGUGGACGUCCCCAUAAGAGAUCAGUAGCCCAGGUCCACUGGCAGCAAUGACGGAGGGAUGAGGGUUCUGAAUGGAGGGGCGAGAGGCCCCCUGGAGAAUUCACCCUAGUCAGCCUCUGAGCCAUCCCAACAUUUGUCCACUCUGUUCCUUGACUUCCAGCCAGUGGGGGGGUGGGGUGCAGGUGGACAAGGCACUUCACUGAGUGGAGGACUCACCAAGAGUAGCAGACAGGAAUGAGGAAAGGGGGAGGGGCGCACCCUCCUCGGCUGUAGUCACCUUGGGGUCAGCGUCAGGCGCAGGUGGGCCUGCAGGUGUGGAUGUGCCUUGGGGAUCCACUUCCAUCCACUGAGGUCACCUACCCUGGUCGGGACUGUGACAAGGGCCACUCAGGGUGGAAGGGCUGGACACUUCCGUGGAGGACUUGAUGGUCUGUUGACCAAUGUGCUCAGAGAACGCUGCUGUGGGCACUGGGGGGACAAGGCAACAGAGCCCUGGAGUGAGAUUCUUGUCUGCUGCAGCCCUGGGAUCCAGUGACCACAGUGAUGGACAGUGACCAGAGCUCAGCCAUUCAGUCAGGUCAUGCUCACUUCCAGUCCACUGACCACUGAGCCCUGUGGUCACACCCAGGAAAGCCUCACAUCCUGGUCCUCUAACUACUGGCCCCUGAAAUCACCCUCAGGACCCCUUCAUUUCUUCAUUUCCCUAUCCUCUGGCCACUGGGAACUGUGGUCCCACUCAGGACAACUUCACCUCCUUUCCUCUGACCACCGGACCCCGUGGUCACAAGUAGCACUCCUCAUGUCCUGUCCUCUGACCACUGGAUGCCACGGUCACAGGCAGGAGGUCCUCAAGCCCCCUGUGAGGGCCUGGUCAGCCAGGAGGAUCUGGCAACCCCCAGCUGGGCAGUGAGAUCCCCACAGUGUGAGUCCAUCUGGAAGUGGGGGUUGCAGCCGGUGCUGGGAUGGGGGCAGAUCAGCAAUGGGAGGUAGCUCCGCCCACACCCGCAGGAGCGGGAGUUUCCAUCCAGUCACAGCCCAGCGUGUUGGAUGACUGCGCAGGCCCCCUGUGGGAGGAGAGAUGCUAGGGGAGGCAGAGCUGCGGGCCGAGGCCGAAGACGCUGCGGGCUCGGAGGUCGCAGGUUCUACCCAAAGUUCACUCUUCCACUUCCAUCUAAGCUGCUUCUUCCUGUGUCCAACGUCUGUUUCAGGGAGUGGACCACAGGUAGAGCCAGGAGCUGAGACACACACUGUAUCAGUGUUGAAUCGUGAACUGGCCAUUUUCAAGCCCCUGACUGAUGGGGGUUUAAGACUGGUGGGGGUUUAAGAGAGAGACGCUGGCGCUGAUGAAUGAAUGUCAACUUCGCUGGCAUUAUGGUGGGCAGCUGGGCUAAUCCCUGCGCUGUCUUCGCUCAAGACACCCAAGGAAAUUUCCUUCUUGCCAUUCGAGGUGAGCAUCUUUUUUCAGUACAGGGCCAGGGUAUGGCAGCCUGACCAAAACCAGAAUUGAUAUAUUAAGCAGGGUGGAUUGGUAUCAUUUAGUAAGCUCUCUGGGAGUUCCCUCAUGGCUCCUAGGCAUAAGAGUCUCUCUCUUUCUCUGUGCUGUGACUGUGGUAAGAACUGUGUUGGGAAAUCAAACCCUGGCCAGACCACAUCCCAGUGUCACAGGUGGCCCCCAAAUUAAUACAUAAAUAAAGAGUUAUUGAAAUG